GAUGAAGAACGUAGCGAAAUGCGAUAAGUAAUGUGAAUUGCAGAAUUCAGUGAAUCAUCGAAUCUUUGAACGCACAUUGCGCCCUCUGGUAUUCCGGGGGGCAUGCCUGUUCGAGCGUCGUUACAACCCUCAAGCUCUGCUUGGUAUUGGGCUCUGCCGGUCCUGGCAGGCCUCAAAGUCAGUGGCGGUGCCAUCCGGCUCCAAGCGUAGUAAUUCUUCUCGCUUCGGAGGCCGCGGUGCGUGCUAGCCAGCAACCCCCAAUUUUUUUCAGGUUGACCUCGGAUCAGGUAGGGAUACCCGCUGAACUUAAGCAUAUCAAUAAGCGGAGGA
rnacentral:misc_RNA from 1 species